GAUGAACGCUGGCGGCGUGCCUAAUACAUGCGAGUCGAGCGAACAGACGAGGAGCUUGCUCCUCUGACGUUAGCGGCGGACGGGUGAGUAACACGUGGAUAACCUACCUAUAAGACUGGGAUAACUUCGGGAAACCGGUGCUAAUACCGGAUUAUAUAUUGAACCGCAUGGUGCAAUAGUGAAAGACGGCUUUGCUGUCACUUAUAGCUGGAUCCGCGCCGCAUUAGCUAGUUGGUAAGGUAACGGCUUACCAAGGCCACGAUGCGUAGCCGACCUGAGAGGGUGAUCGGCCACACUGGAACUGAGACACGGUCCAGACUCCUACGGGAGGCAGCAGUAGGGAAUCUUCCGCAAUGGGCGAAAGCCUGACGGAGCAACGCCGCGUGUGUGAAGAAGGUCUUCGGAUCGUAAAACUCUGUUAUUAGGGAAGAACAAAUGUGUAAGUAACCAUGCACGUCUUGACGGUACCUAAUCAGAAAGCCACGGCUAACUACGUG
rnacentral:rRNA from 1 species